AGCUAGUGCUUCUGCUUCUCCUAGCCAGCCUGGCGAUGUUUACGACGUGGUCAGAAAGCGGAUUGGAAGCAGUGUUGUGGGAAUAAAUAAACUCAUUUAUCGUGGGCUCGUGCAAUGCACCUGAUCUGCCAGCGACGCAACACAAUAGAAAACAUCCUGCCAAGAACCUACCCACCCCCGACGGAACGAAACGGAAAAGAAAUGUUAUGCAAGAUGACUCGCAGCCUCCAGGAUCGGGCUUUCCGGUACCAAAAGGAAGAAACGAAACGAAUAAAACGCUCCCUCGCAACCAACCACGCAAGCCCCACCGAUUGCGCGAGGCAUCUGCAUCGCCCGCGGGAAGGGCACCGAAUGAAGGCAUCAGCUGUCGAUAAUCCAAUAAUGCGAACUACCGCAUCGAGCAAGUACUCGGGUACUCGGGUGCUUGGAGCGCCGCGGCGAAGGAUGUCGGCGGUGCGGAUGGAACCAAGAGGGCCCAUUGUACAGGGAGGGCACGUUCAAGUGGGGUUUCCGAGGAGCAGAAGACGAAGCCGAAGAGCCUUCACGGUAGUACCGGACGGCACGAGUUCACUGCAGGAAGGACCGCUCGCAGAAGGAGAAUAAAUAUUCCUUUGCUUACAAAUAAAUGUCGACAUCGGGGGUGAAUGUGUUUGUUUGUCCCGGCAGAACAAAUGUUGGAUGAACGUGUCCCAGCGAACUUUCUUUGUAUUUGCAGUGCCGAGAAAAAUGGCUCUCCGGCAAAGCGUUGGCAAACACACGACGCGCUGUCCAAAAUCCCCCAUUCGAGUCCGGGCUCGGGCAAAUGUGCCUCGCAAACGCAAUCGCUCCACGUGCCUGCAACUGUGCAUAAAUAAAGU